rnacentral:snRNA from 1 species
GUGCUCACUUUGGCAGCACAUGUACUAAAAUUGGAAGGACACUGAGAAGAUUAGUGUGGCUCCUGUGCAAGGAUGACAUACAAAUUUGUGAAGUGUUCUGUAUAUAC